rnacentral:piRNA from 1 species
UUUGUCCCCUGUUUUGUAUUA